GAGGCGUAGCUCAGUUGGUCAGAGCGUUCGGUUCACAUCCGAGAGGUCAUGGGUUCGAACCCCCUCGUC
rnacentral:tRNA from 1 species